rnacentral:rRNA from 1 species
UACGAAGGGGGCUAGCGUUGCUCGGAAUCACUGGGCGUAAAGCGCACGUAGGCGGAUUGUUAAGUCAGGGGUGAAAUCCUGGAGCUCAACUCCAGAACUGCCUUUGAUACUGGCGAUCUUGAGUUCGGGAGAGGUGAGUGGAACUGCGAGUGUAGAGGUGAAAUUCGUAGAUAUUCGCAAGAACACCAGUGGCGAAGGCGGCUCACUGGCCCGAUACUGACGCUGAGGUGCGAAAGCGUGGGAGCAACAGGAUUAGAAACCUGAGUAC